AGGGGUAUGAUGUAAUUGGUAACAUGCCGGUCUCCAAAACCGUUCUUACGGGUUCAAGUCCUGUUACCCCUG
rnacentral:tRNA from 1 species